UGUAAGCGUAUACCAAAGUUGUUGCAGUUAAAACGCUCGUAGUCGGAAUUUGGCAGUUCCGGAUGUGUGCACGUCGUGUGCGCACUUCGCGGGGAUUGCUUUUGUGGUCUUGCGUAGGAUGAGGCACUUUUAUUAGUGAACGUCCUCACGCAACCACUUUUUACUGUGAGAAAAUCAGAGUGCUCAAAGCAGGCAUUUGCCGUGAAUGUAUUAGCAUGGAAUAAUAGAAUAGGACUUGGUUCUAUUUUGUUGGUUUGUUGGGACUGAGUAAUGAUUAAGAGGGACAUUUGGGGGCAUUUGUAUUUCGGUGCUAGAGGUGAAAUUCUUAGAUUACCGAAAGACAAACUGCUGCGAAAGCGUCUGCCAAGGAUGUUUUCAUUGA
rnacentral:rRNA from 1 species